CAACACGUCGCACCCGACGCCUUCGCACCCGCAACGGGUGCCUCGGUCGUCGGGGCGGAGAUUGGCCUCCCGUGCGCCCGCCGGCGCGCGGUUGGCCUAAAGAGGGAGAUCAUGGCGACGAGGGCCACGGCGUUAGGUGGUUGGUUGUCCCGGGCUUUAUCCCGGGCACGGAUCACGCCGUGCGCCUUAGGCCGUCCGUGCUUCUCGUAGGGCCUUGAAGAAGCCGCUCGCACGGCUUUACGGAU
rnacentral:misc_RNA from 1 species